CACGCGGGGUCGCCUCUUCCUGGGAUCCAAGAGUAGGAAAGAGAAAGAGAAAGCCUUCGACAACAUACACUGGGAGAGAGCUGGCCCAAAUCUUCCCGGGAAACUGAAGAGGAGACUGGAGAAGCGGGCAGAGACUGGAGUGAAGUGCGGGGCCCCGUUCACUUCAAGCGAAGGAAGGCCCGCCGCUCGGAAGAAGCCCAGGUGAAGGCGAGCGCGGGUCCAGGGAGCCCAAUUCACAAAUGGGCGAGCCGUAUGCAAAUAGGGUCGCUCCGGAGAGCCAAUCAGCGCCGCCGAAACACCCUGCAGAGGGACUGGCUGGUUCCCGUGGAAAGAAGAAGAAAAAAAGGAGGGGCCGAAAGGGGAACCAGCGAGAGCAGCCUCUUCGCCAAGCCUCGCCCUCCUUUCCUCCCGCACACCUGGCUGGCCCUCGCCACGCUCUGCCUGGGCUCACGGAGCCCAGGGAUAAGGAGAAUGUCCAGGCAGGUAUUGUGGGAGCAAAUUAGGAUUAUCAGGGUUAAGGGUUAAAAAAUUCCAGAUGUGCGCAGAAAUUUCCCCUCUCCCCUUCUCCCUUUCCAUGCGAGUAGAGUCUCUGCCUAUUUCCAGUAGAGCUGACACCCCCACUCUCUGCUUUGACUAGGAUCUUGGAUAGAGAGAGAGAGAGAGAUACAAAGUGACAAGGCAGGUAAUCAAACACCUUUCUUUGGAAUGAUUGUAGUAAAUUAGGAUUAUCCGUGAUUGAUCAAUACAAACAGCUGGGUUGCUGUGAGUUUUCCAGGCUGUCUGGCCAUGUCCCAGAAGCAUGCUCUCCUGACGUUUCACCUACAUCUAUGGCAGGCAUCCUCGGAGGUUGUGAAAUCUUCUGGAAAGUAGACAAGGGAGGUUUAUGUAUCUGUGGAAGGUCCAGGGCGGGAGAAGGAACUCUUGUCUGUUGGAGGCAAAUGUUGCAAUUAAUCACUUUGAUUAGCAUUGAAAAGCCUUGAAGCUUCAAAGCCUGGCUGCUUCCUACCUGGGGGAAUCCUUUGUUGGGAGGUGUUAGCUGGCCCUGACUGUUUCAUGUCUGGUAUUCCCCUGUUUUCAGAGUGUUGUUCUUUAUUUACUGUCCUGAUUUUAGAGCUUUUUAAAAUACUAGUAGCCAACCAUUGAAAUCCAUAAGCAUGUGGACAAUUUCAACAGAAAGGAGGAAACCGUGAAAAUGAACAAAGCUGUUGGCAGAAAAUUCUCCACUUGCACUGCCUUUCCCCUUUUCCCUUUUGACGUGGAUUUAUUGAAAUAAGAUGGAAAACUAUGAAGACACCUUUUCCCCACUGAAGCACAUGAAAACAAACUGAUCUACCACCCUGGAAACCCCAUGGGCAGUUUGGCUCCAUUCCAGUCCCAUCUGGAAGAGGACUCUCUGAAAUGUAAUUACAGUUUUAUGGUUGCAACCCCAAAGGGAAAGAAACAUCUUUAUUUCAGGAUGAACUCAGUAAAAAAUCUGUAAUAUCUACUGUUUGGGAAAGAGGAAACUCCCUAAACCUUUUCACCUUUAACAAAUGCAACAGUAAGUACUGGGGUGGACAGUCAAAGAAAAAAUGAAUUUAUUUAUAGCAUUAUUACUUCAUUUAUAUUCCACAUUAUUCUCCAAAAUGAGAGCCUUGGGCAACUUAAAAGAAAAUAUGAAUAAAUCAAAUAGAUGUUGUUGUUGUUGUUGUUGUUGUUGUUGUCUGUCUUGAAGUCUUUUCCUACUUAUGAUGACCCUAAGGCAAACCUAUCAGGUUUUUUUGGCAAGCUUUGUACAGAGAAAGAUUUUUUUUGGCUGCCCCAAGAUCAACCAGUGGGUCUCCAUGGCUGAGUGGGGAUGGUUUGAGACAUAGUACAACAUUCAAACCAUUACACUACACUGAUUCUCUUAAAAGCACAUGCUAAAUCAGACCUAAAAACAUGCUGAUUAUUAGAGCAUUAAAGCCAAUUGAAACAAAUCCUUCAAAGAAACAAAAAAGAGCUUGCUAAGCCUCACAACAACCCAGGAAAAUCAGUAUGAGAAAGAACAGUUGAUGCAAGUGAGUUCAUUGGCACAGUGGAUUUGAAUCCCUCAAGUCCCAGUUCAACAACCUAGCCUACCACAUGGCCUUCCAGUUGGGUCACAAUGCCUUCUACUCCAUCUUUAGAAAAAAAAACCCUGGCCAUUAGACCUUGCUUGUCUUCUAUGUUUCGAAAAAUAGAAAGAUACGUAGUUCACCAUAGCCACUAAUUUCAGUGGACUUGCUCAUAACUAUGUGUGUGUAAGACUUGGCUCAUUAUCUUGGAUCUGUAUUUACAACCUGCAUUCCAACUAUACCUGUCCAUAAUGAAAGGGAAGGUUAUUUUAGUAUUUGCAUUCAUUUAGAUUGUAUUCCCAAAAGGUGUGCUAAAAGCAAACACAUUACCAUACAUCAUGCUGAGAUACUAUAGGACUAAACAAUAACAGACUUAACCCUGUUUUGUUUGUAAAUUGUAAUCUAGUCCUGUGAUUUGGCUGUAUACAAAUUCAGUAUCUUGAAUAUAUUUGCAGCAGCUCCACGGUGUUUCAGGCAAGAAUCCCUUUUAGUCUAACUUGGAUAUCUCUGGUAUUAACCUGACUUGAGCCUGCUUGCUUUCCCAAAAUCAGGCAUAUACUGUAUAGGGGUGGUGUUAAUGUAGGUAUUUAAAAGAAUGCUCCUGUAGUUUCAAUGUUGUAUUUUGGUGGUUCACAGUAUCAUCCUAUACAUGCUUUCUCAGAAAUAAGCUCUGUUAUAUUCAGUGGGACUGACUCUCAGGUAAGCAUUCAUAUAAAAUUGCAGCCUUGGAAUGAUGUGAAAUGAAUUUGGUUGAACAAAUCAUAAUCCCUAGAUAGUCUUUUAUCAUUUGGUCUCUACUUCCCUAGAAUUAAAUAAAUGUUUUCAGUAUAAUUUAACAUAUAUGCUGGGAGGCUUUUCUUAUAAUAGAAGGGCUCCCUGUGAGAGACAGUGACUUUUUCUCUCUCUAAGGGACUCCUAGAGAAACUCAGAGCCGAUGUAAAAUCCUAAAUAUAUAGUGUGUAGCUGGGUACAUGUGGGGUGAGCUAACAUAGUAUCAUGAUUUGAGUGUGAAGUGGGUACUUUAAUGUUUGGAGACAUAAUUCUUCUCCCUGUUAAUUUGUUAUUUCUAUUGUCCAGAGAGACAUCAUGUUAUAAUAGCUGGAAUAGUCUGGAUGCUGGACUAAGACUCUGGGUAUGAGUUUACAAAGGCAAGAAAGCCAGGACUCACCCUAAAUUGACUUCUGGCUAUCUCCACAUCAUUCAACUAAUUCCAUAGGGAUCCUGUCCAACAGCUGCCAUUUCUCAGAUCUCUGCAGCACAACUCUGGAAUAAGUAACACCUGCUAAGGUCAGCAUGUAGCAACUGGUAUGUUGGCUGACAGAUGUCGCAGUAACCAAAAUGUGGAAAUGGAGGUGAGAUCAAAGAGAGAGAAUUGGUAUACGAAUGGAUGAUCUGCCACAAUGGUCAAUAAGGCUGCACCCUCAUCCAAUAGCAGGGAGCAUUUUCAUUCACUGGGGGUACUUAUUGUUUCAGCUUUAACUCAGAAGUAAACCAAGAAUGUAAUCCUUUUUGGAUACUUCACUUGAACAGCAGUUUCCCAAAAGACUUCUAUUUGCUAUCUACAGUUUUCUAUUUAUACAUGUGUACAGUGAUCUGAAACAAAUGGUAUCAUUUGCCUUCCCCUUUGCUUUCAAAGCCUUCACAGCCAAAGCUUAAGACUGCAGCUGUAGUUUUUAACAUCCUGAUCCAUCCCUGUUUUCAUCUUCAGAAAGUACAGUUUGUGUGUGGGUAAAUGUGUAGUUGCAGAUAUAGAUACAUGGAUUUUUUCUCAAAAAAGAAAGAAAGAAAGAAAAGGAACAAUAGAAAAACAAGUUUUUCUUUGCUAACAAACUUGUCUUAGGCUAUUCACUCGGAACAUCUCAUAUACUGAGAAAAUCAGCCACAAUAAGAUCUAAACAGGAUGUGGGAAGGAGAAAACAGGAGAAAAGAAGGGAGGGAGAAAAUGAACUUCAGGCCAGACAACAAAUUACUUAAAUUCUGAGAACCUGUGAAAACUGUCAAGUAGAAAAAAGGGCUUAUAAUAAUACCUCUCCUCUUGAUGUUUUGUAAAAUAAUAGGUAAAACAUCGAUUGUACCUUGACAGAAAUACAGUGUGGACAAGUGAAACAAUGUUCUGGAGACUCUUCAGUGCUCUAAGGAAAGUUUGGCGUACCAUAGAUUUAGAGUAGAUAUGCAUAUGCACCCACCCUCCCUUGCUCAUACAUCCAUGCAUGUACACAAUGUCCUGCUUUCCUUGGAGCUUAUUUCUGCCUCCAUAAACUGGGGAUGUUGACAAAAGCAAACAAGAAAGGCAAGAAGAAAGCAAGCUCAGUGGCAGCUAGCUUGGAAAGUCUCUGAUUGGAUGCCAAUCCCUUUGAACUUGAGAUCUGUUGUGAAAAAAUAAAGGCCUUUGCACUCAGGAUAGCUCACUUCAUUUCUGGUUUUCCUUUUAAUGAGUGUUACAUAUAUAUUCAAAUAAAUGACACUUUCCACAUCCA